UGCAAGUCGCGCGAGAAGUGGGGGCAACUCCAUGAGUAAAGCGGCGCACGGGUGAGUAACACGUAGGUAACCUGCCCUCGAGACCGGGAUAACCUUCCGAAAGGAGGGCUAAUACCGGAUAAGACCACGAAGUUUCGGCUUCGGGGUCAAAGGUGGCCUCUGCAUGCAAGCUAUCACUCGAAGAUGGGCCUGCGCACCAUUAGCUAGUUGGCGAGGUAACGGCUCACCAAGGCGAAGAUGGUUAGCUGGUCUGAGAGGAUGACCAGCCACACUGGGACUGAGACACGGCCCAGACUCCUACGGGAGGCAGCAGUGGGGAAUAUUGGACAAUGGGGGAAACCCUGAUCCAGCGACGCCGCGUGGGGGAUGAAGGGUUUCGAUCCGUAAACCCCUGUCAUUUGUGAACAAUGGUUAUUAUUUAAAAGAUGAUGACUUGAUAGUAAUGAAAGAGGAAGGGACGGCUAACUCUGUGCCAGCAGCCGCGGUAAUACAGAGGUCCCGAGCGUUGUUCGGACUCACUGGGCGUAAAGGGUGCGUAGGUGGCAUGUUAAGUUUGAUGUGAAAGCUCAGGGCUCAACCCUGAAAUGGCAUUGAAUACUAGCGUGCUGGAGGUUUGGAGGGGGGACUGGAAUUCUCGGUGUAGCAGUGAAAUGCGUAGAUAUCGAGAGGAACACCAGUGGCGAAGGCGGGUCUCUGGGCCGAUACUGACGCUGAGGAGCGAAAGCGUGGGGAGCGAACAGGAUUAGAUACCCUGGUAGUCCACGCCGUAAACGUUGGGCGCUAGGUGUGGGAUCCCUUCCACGGGGUUCCGUGCCGCAGCUAACGCAUUAAGCGCCCCGCCUGGGGAGUACGGCCGCAAGGCUAAAACUCAAUGAAUUGACGGGG
rnacentral:rRNA from 1 species